AUUCCUUGAUGAAGGCAUUUUCGUAACAAUUCUUUAAAUCUUUCACACGCCUCAUAUAAGGACUCGUCAUCCAUCUAUUGGAAGCUAGUAAUUUUUUUCCCCAACUU
rfam:Gossypium hirsutum cultivar TM-1 chromosome 3, whole genome shotgun sequence